CAGAUACCCCAGGAACUGACGUAAGAGGCGAUUGACUGGCAUUUAUUCUGCCCAAUCAGCACUUGCCGCUGGGAAGGUGGCUCAGGACGGCGGUCGGCCCAAGGUGAAGGAAGAACUUGCGCUUGAGGAGCCGAAGUGAUUGGCUGAUGGCAAAAUCGGGCGCCAAUAUGGCGUUUGUAGCAGGAGUUAUUCGGCGCCUGGACGAGACGGUAGUGAAUCGCAUAGCGGCGGGAGAAGUUAUCCAGCGGCCGGCCAAUGCUAUCAAAGAGAUGAUUGAAAACUGUUUAGAUGCAAAAUCUACAAAUAUUCAAGUGAUUGUUAAAGAAGGAGGCCUGAAGCUAAUUCAGAUCCAAGACAAUGGCACUGGAAUCAGGAAGGAAGAUUUGGAUAUUGUGUGUGAGAGGUUCACUACAAGUAAACUGCAGACCUUUGAGGAUUUAGCUAGUAUUUCCACCUAUGGCUUUCGUGGUGAGGCUUUGGCAAGCAUAAGCCAUGUGGCCCAUGUCACUAUUACAACCAAAACAGCUGAUGGGAAAUGUGCAUACAGAGCAAGUUACUCAGAUGGAAAGCUACAAGCCCCUCCUAAACCAUGUGCAGGCAACCAGGGUACCCUGAUCACGGUGGAAGACCUUUUUUACAACAUAAUCACAAGGAGGAAAGCUUUAAAAAAUCCCAGUGAAGAGUACGGGAAGAUUUUGGAAGUUGUUGGCAGGUACUCAAUACACAAUUCAGGAAUUAGUUUCUCAGUUAAAAAACAAGGCGAGACAGUCUCUGAUGUCAGAACACUACCCAAUGCCACGACCGUAGACAACAUUCGCUCCAUCUUUGGAAAUGCUGUUAGUCGAGAACUGAUCGAAGUUGGGUGUGAGGAUAAAACCCUAGCUUUCAAAAUGAAUGGCUAUAUCUCGAAUGCAAACUACUCAGUGAAGAAGUGCAUUUUCCUACUCUUCAUCAACCACCGGCUGGUGGAAUCGGCUGCCCUGAAGAAAGCCAUAGAAGCUGUAUAUGCAGCAUAUUUACCCAAAAACACGCACCCAUUCCUGUACCUCAGUUUGGAAAUCAGUCCUCAGAACGUGGAUGUCAAUGUGCACCCCACCAAGCAUGAAGUUCACUUUCUCCAUGAGGAGAGUAUUCUGGAGCGUGUGCAGCAGCACAUCGAGAGCAAGCUAUUGGGCUCCAAUUCAUCCAGGAUGUAUUUUACCCAGACCUUGCUUCCAGGACUUGCUGGGCCCUCUGGGGAAGCCGUUAAAUCCACGACAGGCAUAGCUUCCUCAUCUACUAGUGGAAGUGGCGACAAGGUUCACGCUUACCAGAUGGUCCGUACAGACUCUCGGGACCAGAAGCUCGAUGCCUUUAUGCAGCCUGUAAGCAGGCGUCUGCCCAGCCAGCCCCAGGACCCUGUCCCUGGGAACAGGACAGAGGGCUCUCCUGAAAAAGCCAUGCAGAAGGAUCAGGAGAUGUCUGAGCUCCCGGCCGCCAUGGAAGCAGCUGCUGACAGUGCGAGUUUGGAGAGAGAAUCAGUGAUUGGGGCUUCGGAAGUGGCACCCCCAGCGGCACCCCCUUCCAGUCCAGGCAGCUCCAGAAAGAGACAUCGGGAGGACUCCGAUGAGGAAAUGAUGGAAAAUGAUUCCCGGAAGGAAAUGACAGCUGCUUGCUACCCCCGGAGGAGGAUCAUUAACCUCACCAGUGUUUUGAGUCUCCAGGAAGAAAUUAACGACCGGGGUCAUGAGAGUACCUCUCCGGGAGAUGCUCCGUAACCAUACCUUUGUGGGCUGUGUGAAUCCUCAGUGGGCCUUGGCACAGCACCAGACCAAGCUCUACCUCCUCAACACUACCAAGCUCAGGUAAAUCUACACAGGAAAGCAGUGGAGCCACCGGACGAGCAGUCUCUGGGGAAAGGCACCAAUGCUGGGGGGUGGAGGAGCAGGUCAAGUGGCUGGAAAGUGACAGAUGUGAGUUCAAAUCCAGGGUUGACCAUUUCUUAUUUACAUGAUGAGGAAUUUCUUUUCUAUUCUGUAUUUCAUGUGUCUAAUAUAUAUAGGUUAGUAAGACUCAAUUUGACUGGAAUUUUGUGGGGAUCAGUAACUUGAGAGGAGGCCCAACUCUUGACUCAGCACUCAGUAAACACUGGGUGAAGACCAGAUGUUGAGGGCUUCGUGCUGUUAGAGAUCUGCUGUCUCAUCCGUGCAGCAGAGUUGCAGAAAGGCAGUAGAAAGAAGCCCAUGCCUUUCCCUGGCAUGGGAAUGCAGCACAGGCUUCAGCUCUGACCACCCAAGUCAGUAUUGCAUAACACAGGAAGGGCAAGCCUAGUGGUGCCAUUUACGCUGUUCAUUCUUGGGGACUUUAGAUCUGUUGCGUCUAGAGUAACUAUAUCCUCAAAUAGGUGAUGUGUAUGGGACGAUGCCACCACCUCGUGUCCACUGUGUGUCAUUUACCUACUCUGGGACUUCCAAGUCUUUCUGUGACUGUAGGUGCGUGGUCUUCUCAGUAGAACAGACACUGUACACUGACUGCAUGGACGCGGUACAUGAGCUACAAGUGUGUUAGCCAUCUAAGGUAGCAGCAGCCCGUCCCCAGGCUCUGGAAAUUGGGCAUGAAGUUGAGUCCCAUCGCUCGCUCAGCUUGCUCACUCCUUUUCUCACUUCUGUGACCAAAUAAACGACGAGGAGCGACUUAAGGGUGAUAAGUCUAUCUGGGCUCCAUUUCUGAGGCGAUGCAGUCUGUCGUGGUAAGACAGGCAUUGUGAUGAGAGUGCCUCCCGGCUGCUGUGGGGGAGAAGGAGUCAGCUGGGUUCAGGACCUCAGUGGUCCAGAAGUCAGGCCACAGCUAGUUCUGCCCUUACAGCCUUGGUCUGUCAGGCGCCCCCGUGGUGCACCCCAGGGUAGAGUGUUGGCACUGCAGUCACAUCCGUGUGCAUGAGCUGGGCUCUCGGGAGCUCUUCUCUCCUUUGGCUUUUAGUUCCUAGCAGCCGUGAGUGUGUGACUUGCACGUCUCUAAGCUCACCUGUGUGCAUCUUCUUUGAUCUCACGGUGGCAGUCAAGGCUAGAACUCAAAUUGCAGCUUCUUACUGACGUGACAUCCCUAAUCUGAAAUCCAAAGUGAUUUUGUGUAGCAAACACCAGACGACGACAGUACUGGAACUAGAAAACCGUGAACUCCACGUCCUCUUUCAUGGCUCGUGUCAUUUACCUGAGGUUAGCCCUUUCUCAUCCCCUCAUAACUAGCCUUCUUUGUUGUUCUUUCUACAUGCUAAACUGUACCCACACAGACUUUGUUUACAUCUUUACACUACAGGCGAGAAUUUGCAUCUGAGGAAGAACACGUGGUGAACCCUUUUACAGCCCCAGGGAGGAGAUGAGCCAGGCUUAGUAAUUGAACUUGUCCAGGAAAGAUGGCUGCAGAGUCCUGGCAGGAGUCAGCAUAGGAGUCCCAGUCCUUAGCCAGGCAGCAGCUCUGUCCCAUGCUGCCCUUGCUGCAGUGCCUCGAGCACAGAUUCAUUUUUCUUAAAGUGUUUCUUUCUUGUUCUCAGUGAAGAACUCUUCUACCAGAUACUCAUUUACGAUUUUGCCAACUUCGGUGUUCUCAGGUUAUCGGAACCAGCACCACUCUUUGACCUCGCCAUGCUGGCCUUAGACAGUCCUGAAAGUGGCUGGACAGAGGAAGAUGGCCCAAAGGAAGG